AGGGUCAGCUUCUUUCCCUCUCAUUCUCAUCUCACAUUCUUUACUUUUGUAGUCUCAGAUGAUUCAGUCGCUUCCACGGUGCCCUCUGUCUGUGUCUUCAGCCUUCAUCUCCACCCGAAACAUGGGACCAACCCUAUAACAACUUCUGGGGACAUCUCUACUUGGAUGUUCUAAUGCACUUUUCAGAGUCACUAAAUCAUAAAUGGUUUCCUUUUAAGGUCCUGUGACUGAGACUUCCAGGGUAUAAAAGCAAGAGGCACAGGCGUGCCACAGAGUUAAUGUGGAGCAGUGAAGUUUGUGAAAAGGGUCAGAGGAGAGAAAGAGAGAAACGGCACAAGGUGGAUGUCAGAUGCUACUGGGAGAUGACCCAUCACUCAGAAUUGAAGGUCUGGGACCAUGUGACUUCUGUCUUCUUCAGAAUCAAAAAGCUCCUGAAAGGUCCCUGAAGAGGUCCUAUAUGUAGAAAACCAC
rnacentral:lncRNA from 1 species